AGUGCAUGCGCGCCGGGGCAGCGGAGACACGGCUCCGCUGGGUGAGGCGUUGGCAGCGGGGCUGCGGAGGGAGCAGCUAUGAAACAUGUAGCUCUACAAGCUGCUGAGCCCAGGUAAGUGAGGCAGUGAGCAAAGCAAGCCCUGCGCAGGACGAGCAUCCUCCCACUGCCUGCACCAGCACAGCCAGCCCCAGGAGCAGCACCUUCCGCAGUGCCUGUGCCAAGAGAUGUAGAGCUGAAGCACUGUGUCCAGCACCCCGAGGCCUGGUGCACAACUACUGUGGGACAAUGUAUGAGCCAGCUAGCAAGCUGAAAUCUCAAAAAAGAGAAAGAAUAGAUGACCAAGAGCAAGAGAGCAAGAAUAUGAGAGAGAGAGAGAGAGAGAGAGAAGGCAAAGAAGAAACAGGAGGGAAGGGAAGAAAGAUGUUUUCAAAUAAAAGGAAUUGUUCACAACAAACUAUUUUAAUCCAUUCAUUUGAAGUAUUUUUUCAGUUGGGUCAUUUACCACAGUGUACCCCUCCAGUAUUUGAUUUCAGUGAAUCAGCAUUUUCUUUUGUACCAAAAAAAUUGUUACAAAACCCUAAAUCCACUACUACACAAAUAAGCCUCUGUUGUUUGAAGUUUUCCUUCAUUUGUGAUGCUUAAUUUCCAUAUUGUUAUAAGCUUAAACAUGUGAAAAAUAUGGGAAGCUUACAGGAACAGAAAAUUGGACUAUGUUAUGGCUUGUUUAUCGUUGCUGGAAAGAAAUUCUCACUUAAUGUUCUCCAAAUGACGGGAUUCAAAAGGUUUUCUCUUUAUUAAUUUUUGUGAUUUUAAACACAGAGACAAGGAAAAUGCAAAGCCUCUUUUUCUUUGCUAAGUUAUGUGGGCUGAGAGAAGAACUUUGACUAUUUUUAUUUUCUGCUGACCACAUAGAGGCAAAGAAUUCAACUGCCGGACACGUCAUUCAUACAGAGGCAUAUCUAAGUUCCAAAAAUACAUACAAAUAAAUUAUACACCUAAUAUCAACUUCAUUAAUAUUAAUCUAUUUUCAGAUAAUCACUGGUUCAUACAGGCAUGUUACAUCAUAACUGAUCUUCAACAAUAUGUAACAAUGUUUAUGUUAAAAUAUUUUUAUUUUCCCUCAGUUUUUUGAGGCAAAGCAAAUGCUGGAAUAAAAGUCAUCUAAUGAUGCAAAAGUCUGAGGAAAUCAUAAAUGCAGGAACAGGGGUGGUUAGAACUGAAUGCUCUUCACCGCUCUUACCAUCUCAGUCUACAAACAUGACUGUGUGUCCAGAUGCAGCACAUGAGCCUGCCACAUGACAACUGUUCUACAGCUCACGAGUGGGUGUGAAGGAGAAAAGAAGGAAGACUACCCAAGCCAAUCCAACUGGAAACAGCAAAAGUGCCUGGAACAUAAUAGGAAUAUAGAAGCUGACUAUUUAUUUGAAUGAAUGCGACCAGUCCUGAGUAGAAAGGAGGACUGAGAUAUUAUACAAAAUUAAAUCAAGAGAAAUAAUUCUCCAGCUUCAGAAGAUUGCACUGCAAUACGGAGAAGCACAGAAGUGAUACAAAGAGCAACGGGACUGUGAAAAUUACAUUAAAAUAUUUUGGUUUGUUGUUUGAUUUUUUGUUUGUUUGCUUGCUUUUGUUUUUAAUUUAUAAUACAUUUUCCUCAAUUGUGUAUCAUCAUCCUUUUAUGUUGAGCUUAAGACAUUCAUGCAAGCAAUUUUAUUUCCAGCAAACAUUAACAUUUGGUAGCUAAGCACAAAAAUCCCCACACUUUUAUAUCUCCACAUGCACGUUUCCACUGAAUUUGCUCAAGCACCUCGUCCAAUCAAAGAGUAAGAAGAAUUCUGUUCAACAACCAAGACCCACAAACAGGUUUCAAGUAAUAAAGAAUGACUUCAAAGAGCUGUUUUCUGAUGAACACUGAAACGUCCGCUGAGAAUGCUAGAAAAAGCUGUGUCUGUUCAUACAUAGGUUGGAUACUGGAGCACAAAAAAUUUUUCCUUAAGCCACGUGAAGAAGGAUGAAGGGAAAGCAGACAGGGAUAAACCUUGAGCACUGAAGCUGUGAUUUCAAGCCAAAGCCUGCCCUUAUAGAGCCUUAUGGGGGGGUUAUGAAAAGCUUCUAUGGAACAGGAAAACAAGUCCUUCUCUCUUCCUAUGUGCUUCAGAGAACUGAGAAAAACAGAAAGACCUGGAAUUGAGAAAGAUCAGUAAAGGAGAGCAGUAGAUUAGUCCAGGCAGGAAUAUGCAGAAACAAUUCCCAUGAAGGAUUUGC
ensembl:lncRNA